AGAACGAACGCUGGCGGCGUGUCUUAAGCAUGCAAGUCGUGCGGCAAGGCGGGGCAACCCGCCCUAGAGCGGCGGACUGGUGAGUAACGCGUGGGUGAUCUGCCCCUGGGAUGGGGAUAGCCUCUAGAAAUAGAGGGUAAUACCGAAUACGUUCGCUGGGUUACGGCCUAGCGAGGAAAAGCGCUUCGGCGCUGCCCGAGGAUGAGCCCGCGUCCCAUUAGCUAGUUGGUGAGGUAAAGGCCCACCAAGGCGAUGAUGGGUAGCCGGCCUGAGAGGGUGUACGGCUACACUGGGACUGAGAUACGGCCCAGACUCCUACGGGAGGCAGCAGCUAAGAAUAUUCCGCAAUGGACGAAAGUCUGACGGAGCGACGCCGCGUGGAUGACGAAGGCCGAAAGGUUGUAAAGUCCUUUUGUUGGGGAAGAAUAAGCAUGGGAGGAAAUGCCCGUGUGAUGACAUGAACCGACGAAUAAGCCCCGGCUAACUACGUGCCAGCAGCCGCGGUAACACGUAGGGGGCAAGCGUUGUUCGGAAUUACUGGGCGUAAAGGGCAUGUAGGCGGCUCUGUAAGUCCGGCGUGGAAGCCCACGGCUUAACCGUGGGAUUGCGCUGGAAACUGUGGGGCUUGAAUCGUGGAGAGGGAGCUAGAAUUCCAGGUGUAGGGGUGAAAUCUGUAGAGAUCUGGAAGAAUACCAGUGGCGAAGGCGAGCUCCUGGCCAAUGAUUGACGCUGAGGUGCGAAAGUGUGGGGAUCAAACAGGAUUAGAUACCCUGGUAGUCCACACUGUAAACGAUGCACACUAGGUGCUGGGGCGGAUGCUUCAGUGCCGGAGCUAACGUGGUAAGUGUGCCGCCUGGGGAGUAUGCUCGCAAGGGUGAA
rnacentral:rRNA from 1 species